rnacentral:rRNA from 1 species
UUUUAUUUGAGAGUUUGAUCCUGGCUCAGGAUGAACGCUGGCGGCGUGCCUAACACAUGCAAGUUGAGCGAUUUACUUCGGUAAAGAGCGGCGGACGGGUGAGUAACGCGUGGGUAACCUACCCUGUACACACGGAUAACAUACCGAAAGGUAUGCUAAUACGGGAUAAUAUAUUUGAGAUGCAUCUCUUAAAUAUCAAAGGUGAGCCAGUACAGGAUGGACCCGCGUCUGAUUAGCUAGUUGGUAAGGUAACGGCUUACCAAGGCGACGAUCAGUAGCCGACCUGAGAGGGUGAUCGGCCACAUUGGAACUGAGACACGGUCCAAACUCCUACGGGAGGCAGCAGUGGGGAAUAUUGCACAAU